rnacentral:rRNA from 1 species
CGGUCUGAUCAAGCGUCUCUAANGGGCAUUUGGUGGAUGCCUUNGGNCGUUGAGAGGCGAUGAANGGACGUGACACGCUGCGAUAAGCCAUGGGGNAGCUGCGAGUAAGCUUUGAUCNCGUGGANUUUCCGAAUGGGGAAACCCNGGCCAUUUAGGUCAUCCCGCAAGGGAAGCGAACCUGGGGAACUGAAAUAUCUAAGUACCCAGAGGAAAGGACAUCAACCGAGACUCCGUUAGUAGUGACGAGCGAACGCGGACCAGGCCAGUGGCUUGAUAGAAGAUAACCNAGAAGCGUCUGGAAAGGCGCGCCAUAGUGGGUGAUAGCCCCGUAUGGGUAAUGCUUUCUUCAAGUCCUUGAGUAGGGCGGGACACGUGAAAUCCUGUCUGAACAUNGGGGGGACCACCCUCCAAGCCUAAGUACUCCUCAACGACCGAUAGUGAACCAGUACCGUGAGGGAAAGGUGAAAAGCACCCCGAUGAGNGGGAGUGAAAUAGACCUGAAACCNGAAUGCCUACAAUCAGUCGGAGCCACAGUAAGUGNGUGACNGGCGUNACCUUNUUGUAUAAUGGGUCAGCGAGUUACUUUGACGAGCAAGCCNUAAGCNCGUUAGGCGUAAGCGAAGCNGAAAGCGAGUCUGAAUANGGGCGUUUAGUUCGUUUGAGUAGACCCNGAAACCGGGUGAUCUAGCCAUGGGCAGGUUGAANGGUACGGUAACACGUACUGGAGGACCGAACCCACGCAUGUUGAAAAAUGNCGGGGAUGANCCUGUGGCUANGNGGGNUGAAANGGCCAAUCAAACCCGGAGAUAGCUNGGUUCUCUGCGAAAACUAUUUAGGUAGUGCGUCGUGUAUUACCGUCGGGGGUAGAGCACUGGAUGGGCUAGGGGNGGCGCGAGCCUUACCAAACCUAACCAAACUCNCGAAUACCGUCGAGUACAGCACGGCAGACAGACUAUGGGUGCUAAGGUCCAUAGUCGAGNAGGGNAAACAGCCCAGACCUNCCAGCUAAGGUCCCNUAAAUUGUGGCUAAGUGGGAAAGGAUGUGGNGAAGGCCAAGACAGCCAGGAGGUUGGCUUAGAAGCAGCCAUCCUUUAAAGAAAGCGUAACAGCUCACUGGUNCUAGACAAGNCCNGGCCUGCGCCGAAGAUGUAACGGNGGCUAAAGCCACAUACCNGAAGCUGAGGACGUGAUUUAUCACGUGGUAGCAGAGCGUUCUGUANGGCCNUGCGAAGCGUAAUCGUGAGAUUGCGUGGNAGGUAUCAGAAGUGAGAAUGCUGACAUGAGUAGCGAUAAAGAGUGUGAGAAACACUCUCGCCNGUAAGCCCAAGGGUUCCUGCGCAAGGCUAAUNCCGCGCAGGGUGAGUCGGCCCCUAAGACGAGGGCGAAAGCCGUAGUCGAUGGGAAUCAGGUUAAUAUUCCUGAACCUGUUGGUAGUGACGGAUGACGUAAGUUGUACAUGCUUAACGGAUUGUGUGUGCAGCGAAGUUGUCCCAGGAAAUAGCUCCAACNANUUAAGACCGUACCCCAAACCGACACAGGUGGGCAGGUAGAGCAUACCGAGGCGCUUGAGAGAACGAUGUUGAANGGAACUCGGCAAAUUGCCCCCNGUAACUUCNGGGAGAANGGGGGACCUCCAUUUAGGCAACUAGAUGGAGGUGGCACAGACCANGGGGGUGGCGACUGUUUAUUAAAAACACAGGGCUCUGCGAAGUAGACAAUACGACGUAUAGGGUCUGACGCCUGCCCGGUGCCGGAAGGUUAAGAGGAGGUGUGAGAGCUCCGAAUUGAAGCCCCNGGUAAANCGGCGGCCNGUAACUAUAACGNGUCCUAANGGUAGCGAAAUUCCUUGUCGGGUAAGUUCCGACCNUGCACGAAUGGCGUAACGACUUCCCCGCUGUCUCCAACAUCGACUCAGCGAAAUUNGAAUUCUCCGUGAAGAUGCGGAGUACCCGCGGUCAGACGGAAAGACCCCGUGCACCNUUUACUACAACUUUGCAGUGGCAAUAGAGUGAAGAUGUGCAGGAUAGGNUGGGAGCCUUUGAAGCGGUAGCGCCAGUUAUCGUGGAGGCGUCCUUGAGAUACCACCCUUCUGCACUCUAUUGUCUAANCCGCGGCCAGUGAACCCUGGUCCGGGACCCUGCAUGGUGGGUAGUUUGACUGGGGCGGUCGCCUCCUAAAUGGUAACGGAGGCGNCGCAAUGGUGGGCUCAGGCCGGUCGGACAUCGGCUGCUGAGUGCAAUGGCAUAAGCCCGCCUGACUGCGAGACUGACAAGUCGNAGCAGAGACGAAAGUCGGUCAUAGUGAUCCNGGUGGUUCUGUGUGGAAGGGNCCAUCGCUCAACGGAUAAAAGGUACGCCGGGGNAUAACAGGCUGAUACCCCCCAAGAGUUCACAUCGNACGGGGGUGUUUGGCACCUCGAUGUCGGCUCAUCACAUCCNUGGGGCUGGAGCAGGUCCCNAANGGGUUCGGCUGUUCGCCGAUUAAANGUGGUACGUGAGCUGGGUUUAGANACGUCGUGAGACAGUUCGGUCCCUAUCUGCCGUGGGUGUAAGAAUCUUGAGAGGAGCUGUCCCUAGUACGAGAGGACCGGGAUGGACAUACCUCUGGUGUACCGGUUGUCGCGCCAGCGGCACCGCCGGGUAGCUAAGUGUGGAAGAGAUAACCGCUGAAAGCAUCUAAGCGGGAAGCCCCCCUCAAAACCAGGAUUCGCUUGAGAACCGUGGGAGACCACCACGUUGAUAGGCCAAGUGUGGAAG